rnacentral:snoRNA from 1 species
AAACCUUGAUGAGGACACUCUAAGAGGAGGGCUUUGAAACAUUCCAUACAUCUACAAAAGGAUUCAUUGGUUCUUUGGCGAAAUUGAAGAAUGUCAUUCCUAAGUUU